GUGCUUCCUUCACAGCACAUAUACUAAAAUUGGAAUAAUACAGAGAAGAUUAGCAAGGCCCCUGCACAAGGAUGACACACAAAUUCAUGAAGUGUUCCAUAUUUGU
ensembl:snRNA U6 U6 spliceosomal RNA